GAUGAACGCUGGCGGCGUGCCUAAUACAUGCAAGUCGAGCGAACAGACGAGGAGCUUGCUCCUCUGACGUUAGCGGCGGAAGGGUGAGUAACACGUGGAUAACCUACCUAUAAGACUGGGAUCACUUCGGGAAACCGGAGCUAAUACCGGAUAAUAUAUUGAACCGCAUGGUUCAAUAGUGAAAGACGGUUUUGCUGUCACUUAUAGAUGGAUCCGCGCCGCAUUAGCUAGUUGGUAAGGUAACGGCUUACCAAGGCAACGAUGCGUAGCCGACCUGAGAGGGUGAUCGGCCACACUGGAACUGAGACACGGUCCAGACUCCUACGGGAGGCAGCAGUAGGGAAUCUUCCGCAAUGGGCGAAAGCCUGACGGAGCAACGCCGCGUGAGUGAUGAAGGUCUUCGGAUCGUAAAACUCUGUUAUUAGGGAAGAACAAAUGUGUAAGUAACUAUGCACGUCUUGACGGUACCUAAUCAGAAAGCCACGGCUAACUACGUG
rnacentral:rRNA from 1 species